AUGAUAGGAACUCAUAGAAAUGAGACUGAAGUAACAACUCCUGAUUUCAUUGAUAGCACAAGUCAGAGGAUACAAACAGGAAGUUUCACAGAAAAGCUGACAAAAGCAACUACAGCUGUGGAUGAACAUGCCACUGGUGUCCCUCCUAGUACUGGGAUUCAUAUUACCAGCAGUGCUAUCCAUUGGAAUACAGAUGCUACUAGAAGACCUACAGAACAUGAACCAGUAAGAAGCUCAACUGAAGGCAGCAAAAAUGUCACUACAGGAACGGAUGGGGGUGUUGAACGCUCUACUUUUGUCCCUCCCAAAACCAGUAAAAGUAUGACCAGCAGUCAUGUCCAACGGAGUACAGAUGUAACCAGACAACCAGCUGAUCAUACAGUAGUCAGAAGCUCAACUGAAGGCAGCAGAAGUGUCACUACAGGAAAGGUUGGAAGUCCUGAGCCCUCUACACUUGUCCCUACCAAGUCGAGCAGAAGUAUGACCAGCAGACUUGUUCAACAGAGUACAGAGGUAACCAGAAAACCAACUGAACAUCCAUCAGUCAAAAGCUCAACUGAAGACAGCAAGAGUGUCACUACAGGAACGGAUGGAGGUGCUGAGCCCUCUACUUUUUCCCCACACAAAACUAGCAAUGGUGUGACCAGUAGGCUUGUCCAACAGAGUACAGAUGUAACUAGAAAGCCAACUGAACAUACAGCAGCCAGAAGCUCAACUCAAGGCAGCAAGAGUGUCACUAUACAAACGACUGGAGAUGCUGAGCCCUCUACUUUUGUCCUUCCCAAAACCAGCAGAGGUAUGGCCAGUAGUCUUCUCCAGGAGAGUACAGAUGUAACCAGAAAACCAACAGUCAGAAGUUCAACUGAAGUCAAGAAGGUCACAACAGAAUAUAACAAGCCCUCUACUAAAGUCUCAGCUAGGACUAUCACAGAUACUACACAUGAAAACACGAGUGCAAGAAUUGGAUAUGCAACAGGUGAAAUCUCAGUCUGCUCAUUUGGGUACUACUAA
rnacentral:lncRNA from 1 species